rnacentral:rRNA from 1 species
UGAGGAAUAUUGGGCAAUGCCCGAAAGGGUGACCCAGCAACGCCGCGUGGAGGAUGAAUGCCGUAAGGUUGUAAACUCCUGUUAGAGGGGAAGAAAAAUCUCGAUCAAAUCGAGAACUGACUGUACCCUCAGAGAAAGCCCCGGCUAACUACGUGCCAGCAGCCGCGGUAAUACGUAGGGGGCAAGCGUUGUCCGGAUUUACUGGGUGUAAAGGGCGCGCAGGCGGGUUAGCAAGUCAGAGGUGAAAUCCUACAGCUUAACUGUAGAACUGCCUUUGAGACUGCUAAUCUUGAGUACGGAAGAGAGAGAUGGAAUUCCAGGUGUAGUGGUGAAAUACGUAGAUAUCUGGAAGAACACCAGUGGCGAAGGCGGUCUCUUGGUCCAUUACUGACGCUAAGGCGCGAAAGCGUGGGGAGCAAACAGG